CGAGGGGUGCAAGCGUUGCUCGGAAUUAUUGGGCGUAAAGGGUAGGUAGGUGGUCUCAUUUGUCUGGGGUGAAAGCCCAGGGCUUAACCCUGGAAGUGCCCCAGAAACGGUGAGACUCGAGUCCUGGAGAGGGUCGUGGAAUUCCCGGUGUAGCGGUGAAAUGCGUAGAGAUCGGGAGGAACACCAGAGGCGAAGGCGGCGACCUGGACAGGCACUGACACUCAACUACGAAAGCGUGGGGAGCAAACAGGAUUAGAUACCCUGGUAGUCCACGCUGUAAACGAUGGGUACUAGACUUGGUGGGUCUUGACCCCUGCCGAGUCGGAGCUAACGCAAUAAGUACCCCGCCUGGGAAGUACGGUCGCAAGACUA
rnacentral:rRNA from 1 species